rnacentral:rRNA from 1 species
UACGUAGGGCGCGAGCGUUGUCCGGAAUUAUUGGGCGUAAAGAGCUCGUAGGCGGCCUGUCGCGUCGGUUGUGAAAGCCCGGGGCUCAACCCCGGGUCUGCAGUCGAUACGGGCAGGCUAGAGUUCGGUAGGGGAGAUCGGAAUUCCUGGUGUAGCGGUGAAAUGCGCAGAUAUCAGGAGGAACACCGGUGGCGAAGGCGGAUCUCUGGGCCGAUACUGACGCUGAGGAGCGAAGGCUAGGGGAGCGAACGGG